GAGACGCUGGCGGUAUGCCUACACAUGCAAGUCGUACGAGAGUUUUUAACUCAAGUGGCGGACGGGUGAGUAACACGUGAGAAUUUACCUUUAGGAGGGGGACAACAACUGGAAACGGUUGCUAAUACCCCAUAUGCUUUCGAGUGAAAUGAAUUUAUUCGCCUGAAGAGAAGCUCGCGGCUGAUUAGCUUGUUGGUAGGGUAAGAGCCUACCAAGGCGACGAUCAGUAUCUGGUUUGAGAGGACGAUCAGACACACUGGAACUGAGACACGGUCCAGACUCCUACGGGAGGCAGCAGUGGGGAAUUUUCCGCAAUGGGCGAAAGCUUGACGGAGCAAUACCGCGUGAGGGAAGACGGCCUAUGGGUUGUAAACCUCUUUUUUCAGGGAGGAAUUCAAUGACGUGUACCUGAAGAAUAAGCAUCGGCUAACUCCGUGCCAGCAGCCGCGGUAAGACGGAGGAUGCAAGUGUUAUCCGGAAUCACUGGGCGUAAAGCGUCUGUAGGUUGUUAAACAAGUCAACUGUUAAAUCUUGAGGCUCAACUUCAAAAUCGCAGUCGAAACUGUUUGACUAGAGUAUAGUAGGGGUAAAGGGAAUUUCCAGUGGAGCGGUGAAAUGCGUAGAUAUUGGAAAGAACACCAAUGGCGAAGGCACUUUACUGGGCUAUUGCUGACACUCAGAGACGAAAGCUAGGGUAGCAAAUGGGNAUUAGAUACCCCAGUAGUCCUAGCCGUAAACAAUGGAUACUAGAUGUUGAACAGAUCGACCUGUGCAGUAUCAAAGCUAACGCGUUAAGUAUCCCGCCUGG
rnacentral:rRNA from 1 species